AAAAUCUUAAAAACUUUUCAGAUAUGAAUGCAAUGCUCCUAUAGUAAGUUGGUGUAAAAGGUAUUUCGGAGUUUCCAAUUUCAUAUAUUUCUCCAAUCAUUCUUUGCGUGAGCUAUAUAUAUGCAAAACAUAUUGCUAUAGUUUGGAAUAAAUAAAAUAUUUUUGUGUUAUUUCUAGAAUGGCAUGCUCCUGCUUUUACUUUCAGUUGAAAUAGCAUAAGAGUUUUCUAACAGUCUGCAUUGAUGUGAUUGGAAAAUUACCAAAUGCUAUAAAAACACUUUACACAGAACUCUGAAGAAAAAAUUAAAUUUGAAAAUUAAUUCAUGCCACAUUACUUUGAGGUUUUAAGACUGAGAUUUUAUUUGAAAGCCCAAAGCUUAAGAGUCACCAGUAAUGAUGGGCAAUUCAACAUCAAUUAUUUUCCUCAGAAUUAUUAAGGUUUAAUUUAAGCAGCCUCAAAAGCUUAAAAUGUUCGUUCUUUAUAUACAACACUCUAAGCUAAUGAAGAUGUGGUGAUUUCAAAUGCUGUUAUAUUUUCAUUUCUGUGGCUCACUGUAUAGGUCAGCUCAGACUGCCAUGAUGUAAUACUAUAGAGUGGUUGGCUUAAGUAACAGGAAUUUUUAUCUCGCAAUUCUGGAAGCUGAGAGGUCCAAGAUCAAGGUGCCAGCUAAUUCAGUUCCUGGGGAGAGCUCUUCUCCUGGCACAAAUGGAGAGCAUACAUGGCAGAAAGAGAGCAAGAGAUCUGGUCUCUCUUCCUCUUAUAAUCCCAUCUCUCUAAACCAAAUAACCUCCCAAAGCUCAAAUACCAUCUCACUUGGUGGGGGCGGGGGUAGGAGUUCAGCAUAUGAAUUUUGAGGGGACCUAAACAUUCAGUACAUUUCAUACAUCUUUUCAUGAAAUUAAGCAGAACUAAACACUGUAUCACUUCUACGUCAUGUGUGCGGUCAGAUAAUAAUUGUCAAGAAUUUUCUCACCACAUAUACGUCAAUGCACUUCUGUCCAAGGGCCAAACUGAGCAUCCAUGAGCAAAGCAUGGAGGCUCUUUCACAAAAACCACGGUACCCACUGGCCUCUAACCAAAAAUUACUGAACCUAAAGCCAAAUACUUCAGGACACAUUUGAAGGAUAUUUUUAGCUGAGUUCUGUAGCUUUACAGUGCUUCAAAAUAUCUACAACCUGGCAAUGAGUAGCUGGGGGUUUUAUUUCCCCCCAGUUUAGCUUUCAAAUUGGUAGUAAAUGAAUCCAAAGACUAAACAUUACUUAGUAAUUUCAGUAGGUUUGGGGGGUUGCUUAUUUAUUUGGUUUUUUUUUGUUUUGUUUUGUUUGAAUUGAGCAGGAAGGAAAAGACUUUGCUAAGGACAAAUAUAACAUUCGGUUUAAGAGCUGGAGAAAUAAAUUUCGACCCACUGAUGGCUGACUUUUCUUGUCAUCAUUUACAGGAGAGCUAAUUCUUAUCCCUGGCCAUCUAAACCACAAUUUUAUUUUCAAGAGGCCCAAAGUCUUCAGAGUAAACAGAAGGGAAGUAAAAUAAACUUUAAAUAGUAAUGACGGCAUGCAGUGUUUGAGCAGAACAAAUAACUGACAGGCAAUUUCCAGAUUUUACACCUCGUUCUAGAAGAGGCUCCCAAACAGCAGUUCAGUAGAGACUGCCUCUCUGUAAUAUUCAUUGUUUUCACCUUUUUUUUUAAAUUUAUUUUUUAUUUUUAUUUCCCCCAACACACUUUUUUUUCCAUUGUACACCAUGGGGACCCAGUUACACAUACAUGUAUACAUAAUUUUUUCUCGCAUUGUCAUGCUGUGUUGUAUCUAGACAUAGUUCUCUGUGCUACACAGGAGGAUCUCAUUCUUAAUCCAUUCCAAGAGCAAUAGUUUGCAUCCAUUAACCCCAAGCUCCUUUUUGCUUAUGUUUAGCUUGCAUAGAUACAUAUAUAAUGCAAGGAAAAACUCAGAGAUUUAAAUAUGCAAAAGCUCUGCCACACAUAUAAGCAGAUACGAGAUACUUCACCUCAAAGGAAAGUAUAAAAGACAUAAGAAGAAAUGGGGGUAGGGGACAAUACUAGAUUAGAUUGUAACUAGCACAUCAACAGAACCUAAAGUUAUUUCCACAUAUCGUCACACUGAAUCACAUCUCUAUUUGUCUCCGUCACUCUCUCCAUGUUGACAAGUCAGCCCUGAUUGCCAUGAUUAACCCUGGAAUUUCUAGGCAUUAUCGAAUUCAGUUGUGAGAAGGAAAGCAGUUGAAGAUCUUCAAAUCAAUAAGUGAAACUGAAAAUAGUGUUCGGUCUAGCAGUGGACUUUUCCCAAUAGUAGAAAUGAAGUCUCCCAGGGACAUAGUUGCAGGGAAACUUGAAAUUACAAAAUAUCUAUGCCUUCAGAAAAAUUAGAGAAAGGACACAUCUAAUGAAAAGACAAAGUUUCGAGAAUGCAGUUUGCAUUGUGAAGGAUGCUAGAAAAGCCUCCAUAUGUACUUUUUUUGGCUUUUUAAGGCCAUACCUGCAGCAUAUGGAGGUUCCCAGGUUAAGGGUCUACAGCCUACAGCACAGCCACAGCAACGCCAGAUCCGAGCCACAUUUGCAACCUACACCACAGCUCAAAACAACACCGGAUCCUUAACCCACUGAGCGAGGGCAGGGAUCAAACCCUCAUCUUCAUGGAUGUUAGGUUCGUCAACCACUGAGCCAUGACGGGAACUCCCAUAUUUACUUACUUUAAAAAAAAAAAAAGUUCAGAUUUCCUAAAUUUCAUUGAAUUGAGUGCCACAUCUCAAAAAGCUCCAGCCAAGAGACAACUGAUCCAACAUUUAGCAGCACUUACUGGACCUUUGCCUAUCUUGGGGCUGAAGACAGGUGAGGAAAUGGCUCUUGAAGGACUAGGCUGCUGGAGCAUAGCUACAUACAGUCUCAAAGAGAAGCCAAAUUAGCUUGUCUGGCUUAACACUGAAGAAGAAGUGGUGAUGCCUUUGAGAAGAGGUAUGGGGAGGUUAGCCCUCAGUCUACUCUCCAUUUCUUAAAAUAUUGUUUAACUAUAGCAGAUAGUCAAAAUUUGGUGAAUUGUAUUCAAAGAAAUGGUAAAUAAGAAUUCCCUUUACCGAUAAAGAAGAUUCCAUCCUUAUCUAUGGAAUUAGAUAGGUUUUUUGUUUGUUUGUUUUUGCUUCUUUUUAGGAUCGCACCUACAGCACAUGAAAGUUCCCAGGCCAGGGGUUGAAUCAGAGCUACAGCUGCUGGCUUACACCACAGCCACAGCAACACAGUAGCUGAGCCACAUCUGCGACCUACACCACAGCUCACAGCAACGCCUGAUCCUUAACCAACUGAGCCAGGCCAGGGAUGGAACCCGCAUCCUCGUGGAUCCUAGUCAGGUCUGUUAACCAUGAAGCCAUGAAGGCAACUCCUCAGAGUGUUUCUUUUUUCUUUUUAAUUUUUUUUAUCUUUUGUCUUUUUAGGGCCACACCCAUGGCAUAUGGAGGUUCCCAGGCUAGGGGUCUAAUCAGAGCUGUAGCCCCUGGCCUAUGCCAGAACCAUAGCAACGCCAGAUCCCAGUCACAUCUGUGACCCACACCACAGCUCACAGCAACACCGGAUCCUUAACCCACUGAGCAAGGCCAAGGAUUGAACCCACAACCUCAUGGAUGGGGGUUUGAUCCCUUGUCCCACUCAAUGGGUUAAGGAUCUGACGUUGCCAUGAGUUGUGGUAUAGGGUCAGAGCCAUGUCUGCACCCUAGUCUAGGAAUUUCCAUAUGCUGCAGGUGCAGCCCUAAAAAGCAAAAAAAAAAAAAAAAAAAAAAGAGAAGGAUGGGGAGGGAGAUGGGAGGGGGAGGAUGUCUGGUUCUGCAUAAGAUGCAGUAAGCUCACACCAUCUUGUCUCCUCACUCUUAUAUACCUAUUCUAUGCAGCUGUAACAUAAUAACUGGAACAGGUAUUUAGGACUCUAAAAAGAAAAGACUAGCAGGUGGAUUGGGAAGAAGACCAGAGUUCAAAGUACCACCAAAUUUUAUGGUGAGUCGCUAUCAAUUUUUUUUCUCCUCUGAUAUCCCUCUCCUAGGAUUCAGGGCAGCAAGAAACCCUGAGGUGAAGCAGUCCCCUGCUCUUUUUUGUCUGUCUGUUUAGAAUUUGGGCAUCCAUGGCCAUUUGCAGAUAUUGUGCAUUAGAUGCUAGGAACAAGCUGGCUGUAAUUGGUAGGCUAAGCUCUGGCUUUGGAGAUCAGACAGGUUUAGUUUCAAACGGUACAUGUGCCACUCAGAGGUUCUAUAACCUUGAUGACUACUUAACCUCUCUGAGAGUCCUCUUCCUCAUUAGCAAAAUGAUAAGAACAUGUUAUAGGUCUGGUAUGCAAAUCACACUUCUGUGUUGCUAAAAGUUUUCACUCCAGGAAAAUGUACUGUUUCUGAAUUCAUGCCUCAAAUGGAAUUCAAGUUCUCCGGUAACUUCCUAAUUUAAGGUGUCCAUUAUGCCAGUUCCUCUGUCAAACUGCAUGGACAAAAGUUUUCAGAAAAAUGUACAGAUAGAAUUCCCACUCCGGUUGCUCUAAGAUUAAUUCUCUAGGGUCCUUUUCUGUGCUCCCCAAAAUAAGGUCAGAGACACAAGUUCCUUUGAUGAAAAUCUUUGCUUGUUCUUGGCAUUCAAAUUGGCUGAGACAUUUUGGUUGCUUCAAAAUUGCUCACGUAAAGGAAAUUAAUACCCCAGAUAACUUGUUAAUUUCCUUUUCAAAAAAACUUCCUAAAAUAGUCCUUCAUGUGGUUUCAAAGGAAUGAUUGCUCCAAUUGGCAAUUUAAGGGAAUAGACUCAAAGGAUUCUUCAUGUCCCUUCCUGCUUCUGACGUUCUCUAAUUCCUUGAUUUGUAGGAUUUUCAGAAUAUGGAAAUAUAGAAGAAACCUUUUCUCCCCUAGUGAACCCUAACUGGAUAAGUAAUCACUAUUUUAUGGGUAUCUCAAGAGCAAGUUCUUUCACAAUCAAAUUGCGAACUUCUGAAGAAUAAGGACCAUAUCUCUUAGUUCUUUUCUACUUCCCACAGCAUAUUCAGCACAAGUGUAUGCUCAGAUAAUCACAACCAGUUCUUAUUCCCAGGUAGUUGUAGUCUGGGCAUUCUACAGGUUCAGCAGAAUCAUGUUAAACCUUGACUAGUACACCUGCGGAUUUUAAAGUUUAUUUUUUUAUGAUAAAGCAAAAGAGCAUACCAUAGCACACCACAUAAAAGUUCGCUUCUUUUCUGUAACUGAUUCAGGAAGCAUCUAGGGAGACCCGUGAGUAAAGUGUUAUUCAGGGAAACAAAAGCCUUUUUGAUCAGUAGAUAAAUAAGAACCCUCUUCAGAACCACAAGUGAUUGUCUUAGUCACAUGUUUUCCUAUAUUUUCCUUAUUAUUUUCAACUCUCCAUUCAACCUAUUAUAUUUUGUAUAAACUCCAAAGAUGAUUA
rnacentral:lncRNA from 1 species